CAGCCGCCGCGGGAAUACCGAGGGUGCGAGCGUUAAUCGGAUUUACUGGGCGUAAAGCGUGCGUAGGCGGCUUCUUAAGUCGGAUGUGAAAUCCCUGAGCUUAACUUAGGAAUUGCAUUCGAUACUGGGAAGCUAGAGUAUGGGAGAGGAUGGUAGAAUUCCAGGUGUAGCGGUGAAAUGCGUAGAGAUCUGGAGGAAUACCGAUGGCGAAGGCAGCCAUCUGGCCUAAUACUGACGCUGAGGUACGAAAGCAUGGGGAGCAAACAGGAUUAGAUACCCCGGUAGUCCCUGUCUCUUAUAC
rnacentral:rRNA from 1 species